rnacentral:lncRNA from 1 species
GAGCUUCGCCGCUGAUGUCUCUCUUCCAGUCUAAUAUGAAAGACCGGGUCACCGGAUCUUCCAAUUUGCUUUUCUUCUUGUUUCUCAGCCUCUUUCAGCUUGCUCUCUGCACUGAUGCUCUCUGCAUGAUACAUAUGGUAUGUUUUCAUCACCUGUGAAAAUGUGACCCAAAUUGUUACAAGAUGCCUGUCUAUAACUCAGAGAGUGAAUGGAAGCCAUUAUAUGAGGAAUACGUUAAAAAUAUCACCUUCCAACUGGCAGGGGGAGAGCCAGAUUGCUAGUCAAACAGAUGAAUUAUGGACGAUUGCGUCUACAUAAAGCAAGGAGAAAUAUGCAAAUUCACCUGCCAGGAAGAGGCACUUAGGGGAUAGGCUUUGAUGAAAAAGUGAUUUACAGAGUCUUACGCAUGCUUUCAGUGCACUUGAAAAGUUCCCUUAAGCUUAAAAGUGUUCUCUAAAAUCUCUGCAUUAUUAAUCUGCAGAAUAAACCAUUAUUCGUGGAUAAAUUUUACCCCAACCUUGGAAUUAUAAAAAACUCCAAAUUAGUACAGAUUUUACUAAACAGUUUUUUUUGUAUAAAAUCUACUUGUCAAAAUACAAAAUGGAAAUAUUAAAGUUCGUACAUACAUAGUUAAAAAUAAUUGUUUUUCUGACCACAAAGUAAUACUUUUAUGUUCAAUGCAGAAAACAUAUGACACAAAAAAGAAAAUAUAAAAAGCACACAGAGAUAACCACUGUUAAGAUUUCUGGUCCAGCCACUUGGGUCUUUUUCCUAUGAAAACACACAGACACACACACUUCUUUACUUGAAAAUGACACGUUUCUCCUUUUCAAACAUUUGUACCAUACUGUGUUAACAAUUUUUAAUCUUCUAUAUCCUCUUUUCAUUUAACAGAUCAGAACACUUUUCUAUAACACUAAAUGUUCUUCUAAAAAUAUUUUUAAGGACUGUAUAAUAUUUUUUUAUAUGACUGGGACACAGCUUGACUAAUUUCCAAUUGUUGAACAUUUUAGGAUAUUUCAACUUUUUGCUUUAUAAAGAAAGCUGUGCUGAAGCCCUUUAUAUGUAUCCUAUUUCUUGUUUUAUAAAUGAUACACCUAAGUUGCAUUUUAAUAACUUUAGGAAUAUAUAGAAAAUAAAGUUUUUAAUGUAUCCUUUCCAUGUAUGUUGUAAACUUACACAAACAAUUCUCAACUAAAAUUUUUGUUAAAAUAAAAUUUGAAUCUUUAAACAUUUUGAUUAUAUUAUUGGUACAGAAAUAUUUAUGCACAAAAUUAUAUUUCCUAUGGUACAUUUUCAGAGAAUUACAGUUAGACAAUCUGCACAUUUUGGAAGUUUUGACACAAACUUCCUAUUUAAUACUCUGCUAAUCUGAAAAAAAGUGAUCUGUACAGUUAUUUUCCAAAGCAUUUAGAAAACAGAGAUGCUUAACAAACAUUUUCUCAAGUAAUAAAUAAGUAUAUUUACCCUUACAGUAUCUAUUAUAUCUGUAUAUAGUCCUUGUUUUUUUAGAUACAGAAUAAAAGUCACAGAUUUUCAAAGAUUUUACCUAAAAAUCACAGUUUUCCAAUAUAAUUUCAAUCUGCUAUUUAUAAGUAGAGUCAGACGUCUGGGCCAAUUCUGAAACCUGUUGACUUUAAGCACAUUUAUACUCCUUAAAAGAAACAACAUAUCACAGUAGGACUCCAAUGCCAUGGACGUAUCAAGGAACAUACCAGAAUUUAGCACCCAAUUAUCCGUGGUGGCACUUUUCCAUAAAUUAUGUCAAAUUUGCAUCCACAUAAAACAGAUUUUAUUUCAUUCGUAAAUAACCAGAAGUUAUUCAGAGCCACCUUUAUAACUAAAAUGUAGUUGUUAAGAAGAGAUUUAAUGUCACAUUUUGAAGUAAGGAACUUGAUAUUUUUUUCAUCUCAAAAGAUGAAUCUUAAAAUAGUUUGGGAACCGGAAGCAUCACCGCAAUAUAUUUACUUAGGUUGAAGCACAUGAAAUUGCUGUUUUGGUAGGUUAUAUAGAAGGUAGGAAGUCAGCACUUUCUUAUGGUUCAACUUAGUACAUACUUCCAAGGUGACUUUUUGAAAAUGAAAACGGGGUAAAUGAAGAGUUUUUACUUAUUUUCAUAAAAUCUGAUAAUGUCUUUCCUUAAAAAGGUAAGCUAGCAAAUCACAUUACAGGCAUUUUGAACAAGAACAAAGUAAGGGCUAAAGUACAAAGCAUGGCAGCUUUUUCUGAGCUGUGUGUAAUUGCAAAGUUGUCUGUUUUUAGUAAUUACCAAACCUGUCCAGGAAAAGUUUCGUUGGUUACUCCAGUUUAAAAGAAAAAUAAAAUAGCAUUAAGAAGCAGCUGGGCAGCUGGGGAAUGAAAAGGGAGUGACCCUACAGCUGGGCAAACAGCGAGGUCAAUGAAUUUACUACACACCUUGCAUUUCGAGGUUUGGCUCUGUUUGUAUACCCUGCCUGAAGCAAACCCACACACCAUUUGGGUCCUGGUUCCAAUUACAUCUUUAAAGAGAGGGUGAAAAAAAAAUCUCUCUCUCUCUCUCUCUCUCUCACGCGCGCGCGCGCGCACACACACACACACACACACACACAGUUGCUUAGCUGACUGUAUUCUUCUUGCUAAUACCCAGGAAGAAAUGAGAACAUAUAACUUCCAUCAUAGAUAGAUGAAAAGGCAUUCCAGACAGCCCCGGGUAUCUGAGAAUUAUUUAUUUUAAAAACAUCCUGAAGAAAAGACUUGAACUCUUGCUUUAUUUAGAUGCUGAGGACCAGUGUAACCAAGUGAUUUGCAGAAACUAAGCCUUAUGAACUAAGGACACUGAGCUGGCUGCCAGCAUGGUGAUACUUAUAAACUAGCCUGGGUUAAAAGAAAAACAUUCUCUUUUUUUUAAAAAAUGUUUCUUUAUUUACUUUGAGGGGGUGGGGAGAGAGAGAGAGACCGAGAGACCAAGAAUCCCAAGCAGGCUCCCCAUUGUCAGCAUGGAGCCUGAUGUGGGACUUGAUCCGACAAAGCAUAAGAAAGUGACCUGUGCCGAAAUGAAGAGUCAGAGGCUUAACUGAGUGAGCCACCAAGAAGCCCCAAAAAGGAAAACAUUCUUGACCUAACACUAGCAAGAAAAGGGUGUAAAUAUCCCAUCAUAACGUGGUUCAGCACAAUAGCUGAGGGUUUUCUACCUAGUUUGAUGGUAAUUUCCAGAAGGAAAUUUCUUUGUUCAGUUUUCCAAUGUGACUUAGGGUUUCCACUAUUUUCUAAAAUGUUAGCAAUGACAAUGAAUGAAUUUUAAAAGUUGGGGAGAAAAACACUAAAAGCUUUUUAGAACUCUAAUUGCAGAUAAUGAAUGCAAGUACAAACUGCAUUAUUUAAAAUGUAAGCUGUUGACAGCAGUUAAAUGUGUUUUGUAUUUAAAAUAAAAUAAGACAGUUUUCUCUUUUUCAAAGAAGUAGAAGAAAGCUUUUAUUUUUCAAAGGUGCCUUUUUUUUUCUACACAUACUGCAAAGAAAAUAAUAGCUUCUCCAUAAGCUUCAAGCAAACACAAGUAUUUGCAUACCAAAUGACAUGAUAGUCAUAUAUCCAUUUAAAUGUACUCCAAUAACAUAUUUUCCUCUUUGAAUUCUUCUCUACUAAAACCUCCUGCAUAAUUCUCCAUUGAACACACUCAAUUUAUCUUUCCUAAUCCAUCUUUUCUUAACUGUAAAAGAGUAUCGUCAAACAGAAAGUGACCAUAUCAUGGAUUUCUUUGCACUUGUGAAAUCCUAUGCAAAAACUUUUGCACAGAAGCUAUUAAUAUUUUUUUUUCCUUAUUGACAGAGUCAUAUAAUGUAUCCUACACUCCUCUUGUACUUUAAGUCAAAAUAAUUAAAAUAUCUAUGGUAAAUUUUA